GAAAUGCGAUAAGUAAUGUGAAUUGCAGAAUUCAGUGAAUCAUCGAAUCUUUGAACGCACCUUGCGCUCCUUGGUAUUCCUUGGAGCAUGCCUGUUUGAGUAUCAUGAAAUCUUCAAAGUAAAUCUUUUGUUAACUCAAUUGGUUUCUACUUUGGUAUUGGAGGUCUUUGCAGCUUCACACCUGCUCCUCUUUGUUCAUUGGCUGGAUCUCAGUGUUAUGCUUGGUUCCACUCGGCGUGAUAAGUUAUCUAUCGCUGAGGACACUGAAAAAGGUGGCCAAGGUAAAUGCAGAUGAACCGCUUCUAAUAGUCCAUUGACUUGGACAAUACUUUUAUGAUCUGAUCUCAAAUCAGGUAGGACUACCCGCUGAACUUAAGC
rnacentral:misc_RNA from 1 species